rnacentral:rRNA from 1 species
UACGUAGGGUGCAAGCGUUAAUCGGAAUUACUGGGCGUAAAGCGUGCGCAGGCGGCGCCGCAAGUCAGGCGUGAAAUCCCCGAGCUCAACUUGGGAAUUGCGCUUGAAACUACGGUGCUGGAGUAUGGCAGAGGGAGGUGGAAUUCCACGUGUAGCGGUGAAAUGCGUAGAGAUCCGGAAGAACACCGGUGGCGAAGGCGGCCUGCUGGGCAGUGGCUGACACUGAGGCGCGACAGCGUGGGGAGCAAACAGG